rnacentral:rRNA from 1 species
CUGCUGCCUUCCGUAGGAGUUUGGGCCGUGUCUCAGUCCCAAUGUGGCCGUUCACCCUCUCAGGCCGGCUACUGAUCGUCGCCUUGGUGGGCUGUUACCCCGCCAACAAGCUAAUCAGACGCGGAUCCAUCGUAUACCACCGGAGUUUUUCACACCGUCUCAUGCGAGACUGUGCGCUUAUGCGGUAUUAGCACCUAUUUCUAAGUGUUAUCCCCCAGUAUACGGCAGGUUAUCCACGCGUUACUCACCCGUCCCG